GGGAGCAAAUAGGGUUUGAUAUCGUUGUAGUGCGAUCAGUUACAGAUGUCAGCUAGGCAACGGUAUCCUUGGGACAUUAUAGGAGCAGCGUAGGCCAUAAGUUAAGGGCCAGGGGAGUUCGGCGUCAAGGUCACAAUUCAAAGGAAUGUCCGGGGCAGUGCCCAAGGGGUGGACCCCGUGGUUUAAUUGUAAGUAAGGACAAGGGCCGUGCCAGGCCCGGGCAUUCAACGAAUCUUUCAGGGCUAGAGGAGAGGACUCGGGAGCAGCAGACAGUCAAGCUCCCGAAGGUCAUCCUGUAUCUUGAAAGGAUGGGUUAAAUGUCAAGGCGAGGUAAGGUUCUUGUCGUUAGUUAGAAGCAAACCACGGGGUGCACCUAAGGAGGGGCCCGGUGACAAACCGGAGGAAGGUGGGGAUGAGUCAAGUCAUCCAGGCGGUCAGGCUAAGGCGUUACACCGCCACAAAAUCUCAACAGAGGGUUGGCAAACCGCGAGGUGGAGCUAAUGUCGCAAAACAGAUAUUAGUAUCGGAUUGCAGUCUCCAACUUGAGCGCGUGAAGU
rnacentral:rRNA from 1 species